rnacentral:rRNA from 1 species
UACGGAAGGGGCUAGCGUUGUUCGGAAUUACUGGGCGUAAAGCGCGCGUAGGCGGACCUGCAAGUCGGGGGUGAAAGCCCGAGGCUCAACCUCGGAACUGCCUUCGAUACUGCGGGUCUCGAGUCCGGGAGAGGUGAGUGGAAUUCCUAGUGUAGAGGUGAAAUUCGUAGAUAUUCGGAAGAACACCAGUGGCGAAGGCGACUUACUGGACACAUAUUGACGCUGAGGUGCGAAAGCGUGGGGAGCAAACAGGG